rnacentral:rRNA from 1 species
CAAUAGCGUAUAUUUAAGUUGCUGCAGUUAAAAAGCUCGUAGUUGGAUUUCGGGUGGGAAUGGCCGGUCCGCCGUUUCGGUGUGCACUUGCUACGCCCACCUUGCUGCCGGGGACGUGCUCUUGAGUUCACGCUCGGGACACGGAGUCGGCGAGGUUACUUUGAGUAAAUUAGAGUGUUCAAAGCAGGCCUACGCUCUGAAUACAUAGCAUGGAAUAACACGAUAGGACUCUGGCCUAUCUUGUUGGUCUGUAGGACCGGAGUAAUGAUUAAGAGGGACAGUCGGGGGCAUUCGUAUUUCAUUGUCAGAGGUGAAAUUCUUGGAUUUAUGAAAGACGAACUACUGCGAAAGCAUUUGCCAAGGAUGUUUUCAUUAA